AAUGGGGAUAAUAGAUACCCCUGAGCCAUUCUGGAGACGUGUUUUGAUGCCAGCCCAGUUAUGUGAUUAUAGGAGAAAAAAGCUUUGAGCUUUUGGCACUUAGGUGCUACAUAAAUAUUAUUAGCAAGCUGCUGAGAUUUUAUCUUUGGAAACUAACAAGCAUUUCUCUUCUAAAGCCUCAUAUCUUUAGCCCCUGGACACAUGUUCCUGAUAGCUCUCUCUUUACAGAGAUCCCCUUGGCUCCACAAGGAUAGAGAGUUCUUUGCUGAGAGAGUCACUGCCGCACGCUCAGAUGAAAGGUAUUCAUUCUGCUUGGCAGAGUCAUCGGUAGAGUAGCUGCUGAUCCCAGCAAGGCAGGGUGGGUGAUGGGAAGGGAUUAGAUUAGGAAGAAAAGGGAUCCUCUUGUUCUCUCACUGAGGGGACUUUAAACCUGCAGAAGCACAUCAGUGAGCGGACUAUGGGAAGGGCGAGAGGACCAAUGAAUAACCAACUUUCUGGAACGGAGGUCUUAGGACCUACAGUCAAACAAAAAUCGUGCCCUCAGAUCCUUCUGACAGUGUGCCAGAUAUCCAGCAUCACCUUUGCAGUUUGGGAAGUGGCACCCAGCAUCCACCCAGCGUGCCUUUCUUGAUCUUGUCCAUGGUGCUGAGAUUCUGUGUGGCCCCCAUGCGGUUGGUCUCGCUCCAUGGGUCUCCAUCCAGGGUGAUGCCCACCCUCCUACCACCUGUGAACAUUUGGUAAUAUCUAGAGACAUUGCUGGUUUCCACCAUUGGGAGUGGGUGCAACUGGCAUCUAGUGGGAAGAGGCCAGGGAUGAUGCUGCACAUCCCAUGUUGCAUAGACCCCCCUCCCACAGCAAAGAAUGAUCUUGUUAAAUGUCAGUAGUGCUGAUGGUACACAGACGAUGUCCCACAGCAAAGAAUAAUCUUUUUAAAUGUCAGUAGCAUCAAGGUUGGGGAACUCUCGUGUGUCUGACAAGGAAACCUGCGAUUCUCUCUCCUCUAGGAUUGGACUCUGUCCCAUGGUGCUGUCCACAAUGACUGAGAUUUUGACACCUAGAUCUUCCCUUAGGAAGAAAUCUUUCCUCAGGAAACUUAAUUAUCCCGCCAAUGCUCACCAGCUGGAGUUUGACUUCAUAUUUUUAUUGGUUUCCUGGAAACCUCUCAUUGCAUUCCCUCAGGUAUCCACGAUACCCAAACCAUGCACACGUGUGACACACUGUGUUUAGCUUGCACAGCGUCUCAUGCCAGAACCAUCCCCAGCAGAUUCAGCUCAUUCUCCCAUCGCAGCCCUGCUCCCCUAUGCCCAGUUACCAGCAGGUCUCCCAGCUGAGCCUGCUGCAUCAGGAUAAAACCGUGGCCACGAGCCAACACUGAAAACUUCCACCUGCAGAAGUUGGCUCAAGUGCUGCCUGCUAACAACCGAAUAAGUAAACCUUUGCUGCAGGACCUACCAUGUACGCAGGUGUCUUCUAAUAUUUCUCUGAUUUUUCUGAGCUUAUCCUAAGAUAACUUUUUCACACUUCACUUGCAAAGCAGGAAUACAUAUAUAUGUGUGUG
rnacentral:lncRNA from 1 species